rnacentral:snRNA from 1 species
AUGCUUGCUUUGGUAGCACGUAUACCAAAAUCGGAAAAAUACAGAGAUGAUUAGCAUGGCCCCUGUGCAAGGAUGACACGUAAAUUUGUGAAGCAUUCCAUCUAUUU